AGCAGAUAAAGAAAUAAAUUUGAAUGGGUUAACAGAAGACAAAUCAGAUUUAAAUGAACAGUGUAACAAUCUAACAGAGAGAACAUUGUCAGAAAAAGUCUGUGAAUUAGAGGAUAGAGUUGAACUAAGAAAUGAUCUUAUUUGCCAGCUUAGAAAUGAAGUUAAACUAGUGUGUGUUAAUACCAGAAAAAUACAAGCACAGAAUCUAAUCCCAGAACUAACAGAUACUGAAAAUGUAUCCUCACAGAGUGAUUUGCAGAAAUGUAAAUUUCAAGACAGAACUGCAAAAC
rnacentral:lncRNA from 1 species